UACGUAGGGGGCAAGCGUUGUCCGGAAUUAUUGGGCGUAAAGAGCGCGUAGGCGGUCCGAUAAGUCGGCUGUGAAAGUCAAGGGCUCAACCCUUGGAAGCCGGCCGAUACUGUCGGACUAGAGUCCGGAAGAGGCGAGUGGAAUUCCCGGUGUAGCGGUGAAAUGCGCAGAUAUCGGGAGGAACACCAGUGGCGAAGGCGGCACUCUGGGCCGGAACUGACGCUGAGGAGCGAAAGCGUGGGGAGCGAACAGG
rnacentral:rRNA from 1 species